rnacentral:rRNA from 1 species
GUGCCAGCCGCCGCGGUAAUACCGGCAGCCCAAGUGAUGGCCGAUCUUAUUGGGCCUAAAGCGUCCGUAGCUGGCCAUGCAAGUCCAUCGGGAAAUCCGCGCGCUUAACGCGCGGGCGUCCGGUGGAAACUGCAUGGCUUGGGACCGGAAGACCAGAGGGGUACGUCCGGGGUAGGAGUGAAAUCCCGUAAUCCUGGACGGACCACCGGUGGCGAAAGCGCCUCUGGAAGACGGAUCCGACGGUGAGGGACGAAGGCUCGGGUCACGAACCGGAUUAGAAACCCCAGUAGUCC